AGUGAACGCUGGCGGUAGGCCUAACACAUGCAAGCCGAACGGCAGCACAGUAAGAGCUUGCUCUUACGGGUGGCGAGUGGCGGACGGGUGAGGAAUACAUCGGAAUCUACCUUUUCGUGGGGGAUAACGUAGGGAAACUUACGCUAAUACCGCAUACGACCUACGGGUGAAAGCAGGGGAUCUUCGGACCUUGCGCGAUUGAAUGAGCCGAUGUCGGAUUAGCUAGUUGGCGGGGUAAAGGCCCACCAAGGCGACGAUCCGUAGCUGGUCUGAGAGGAUGAUCAGCCACACUGGAACUGAGACACGGUCCAGACUCCUACGGGAGGCAGCAGUGGGGAAUAUUGGACAAUGGGCGCAAGCCUGAUCCAGCCAUACCGCGUGGGUGAAGAAGGCCUUCGGGUUGUAAAGCCCUUUUGUUGGGAAAGAAAAGCAGCAGGUUAAUACCCCGCUGUUCUGACGGUACCCAAAGAAUAAGCACCGGCUAACUUCGUG
rnacentral:rRNA from 1 species